rnacentral:rRNA from 1 species
GUGGGGAAUAUUGCGCAAUGGGGGAAACCCUGACGCAGCGACGCCGUGUGAGGGAAGAAGGCUUUCGGGUCGUAAACCUCUGUCAGAAAGGAAGAACCUCCCAAGUCCGAAUAGGGCUUGGGACUGACGGUACUUUCAAAGGAAGCACCGGCUAACUCCGUGCCAGCAGCCGCGGUAACACGGAGGGUGCAAGCGUUAAUCGGAAUCACUGGGCGUAAAGCGCGCGUAGGCCGCUUUGUAAGUCGGACGUGAAAGCCCUCGGCUCAACCGGGGAACUGCGUUCGAUACUGCGAGGCUUGAGUCCUGGAGAGGGUGGCGGAAUUCCGGGUGUAGGAGUGAAAUCCGUAGAUAUCCGGAGGAACACCGGUGGCGAAGGCGGCCACCUGGACAGGUACUGACGCUGAGGCGCGAAAGCGUGGGGAGCAAACAGGAUUAGAAACCCUAGUAGUCC